rnacentral:lncRNA from 1 species
GGAACAAAGACAGCUUUUUUGGCAUCAGCAAGUGCAUUUGAGAAAUGGACAACAUUAACAGGAUUGAUUGAAGAGCUAAAAGGGCUUUGAAGCAAAAGGAAUUAGCAUUUUCUCUUGUAUCUGAUACCUAUUACUAUGUGAGAAUUGGUUGGUUGAAGAGCUAAAAGGGCUUUGAAGCAAAAGGAAUUAGCAUUUUCUCUUGUAUCUGAUACCUAUUACUAUGUGAGAAUUGAGAAAAUUUGGUCCAUGCCAACAUGUUUUCAUCUUUGACAUUACUUUUACUGUUUAUGUAUCCACAAAGAAAUAAUCUUUUUCAUUGUUUUUUCCCCUCUGUCAAAUGAAUUAUAUACAAUGUAUUUGAGUUGCAGUUGUAGCUUAAUCUCUGAGCAAAAUGACUAAACUAUUGUUAUCAGCUUUCUUUUGUUCUUUUC